GCCCCUGUCCGCUAAUGGUAGGCGAAUAGAUUUGUAAUCUAUCAAUCGCGGUUCGAGUCCGCGCGGGGGCU
rnacentral:tRNA from 1 species